rfam:Pan troglodytes isolate Yerkes chimp pedigree #C0471 (Clint) chromosome 19, whole genome shotgun sequence.
GCUGGGCGUGGUGGCGCAUGCCUGUAAUCCCAGCUACUGGGGAGGCUGAGGCAGGAGAAUCGCUUGAACCAGGGAGUCGGAGGUUGCAGUGAGCCAAGAUCACGCCACUGCACUCCAGCCUGGCGACAGAGCGAGAUUCCGUCUCAA